ACUUGCAAAAAUAGUUAGCCAAUCGAAAGCACAAGUCACGAUAUGCGUCAAGAGAAAACCACGGAAUCGAGCUACCACGCUAUUUCUCUCAGCAACGUCAGCGCGGAGACGUCAGAUAGGGCGGCUAUGUCAACACCAAGAUACAGAAAAGAUAAAAAUAUAUUUGAAAGGGUAUACAAAAACAUUUUUUCCUGUUUUCUUAUAAGGUUUAUAGUUGUAAGUUUUCUGUUGUGACGCAUUAACUUAUCAAUCAUUCACCUGUGUAUCUAUAUUAUACACCCAGCUUGAUCAUUAGAACCCGUAUGUUUUUUGGCAUGAUUAUGUUACAUGUCAGCAUUCAUAAUAAUCCAAUAAGAACCCUAUUAAAAUAUCACGUUUCUGCAAUUGUCAGGGUUUAUAACUCGGAGACGUCUGUCCGGAGUAAAACAGUUGUGACCUACGCUGUUGAUUAGAAAACAGAUUUCGUCCAACGACCUGUGUAAACAAAACGCUUUGAAAACUUUGUUGGUGCGGGAAAACACUAAGAGCGGGAAAAUGUUCCUCGGAGUCCUGGUGAUUUUGGCCGUGGCUCACCAAGCAAUUGCUGUGGAAGGUGCGUUAUAAACUGUUGUUUAGUUGAGACAAUUAAGGAGUCACGC